GUCACGGUGGCUCUGGUGGUUAGAGUGUCAGGUUAUAGUGCUGAAGACCGUGGGUUCGAAUCCCAUCUGUAACA